GAGGGAGAUGGGAGGCAGGUGGAUAAGGCGCCUUACCUAUGUCCUGCUGUACUUCCAGGCCUCUGGGAGAGCCGUGAUGAACGUAGCUGGUCUGCGGCGCGCUGUGCGGUGGACCCCAGGGUAAGGGUUGGGAAGCAGGGUUCUGAGCCAGGCCCUUUCCCAGAGGCCAGUGGAGUGGCGCCCCGGUGGAGGCCUGCUGUUCCCGCAGAUCCACGAGCUCCCGGGGCGCCCUAGGGGCGCUGGACUUCGAGGCGGAGCUGUGAAUGCACUGACAGGGCCUUCAGGAUCAUUAAACCCUUCACCAAGAGAGCGCAAUGGAAGUGCUGAUUAUGAAAGCUUCUGGAAAUGGCCCAGGAGUGUAGGAGAAUGCGGAGCACAGACAAGGUUGAGAAGGGAGAAAAAAGGACCUGCUGGCCUUGGUACUGGAUCCAAACUAAUGAGAACUGGUGCUCAAGUUUGAGCCCAUGGGAGUGUCUGGUACAACCUCUGAAGGUAGGAUGGGGCCACUCCUAGAGGGAUGCAACAUCCACAGUUAUCAGUUCAGCUCAG
rnacentral:lncRNA from 1 species